CGGAAAGCCUGAUGCAGCGACGCGCGUGAGGGAUGAAGGCCUUCGGGUUGUAAACCUCUUUCAGCAGGGAGAAGCGCAAGUGACGGUACCUGCAGAAGAAGCACCGGCUAACUACGUGCCAGCAGCCGCGGUAAUACGUAGGGUGCGAGCGUUGUCCGGAAUUAUUGGGCGUAAAGAGCUUGUAGGCGGUUUGUCGCGUCUGCCGUGAAAAUCCGGGGCUCAACCCCGGACUUGCGGUGGGUACGGGCAGACUAGAGUGUGGUAGGGGAGACUGGAAUUCCUGGUGUAGCGGUGAAAUGCGCAGAUAUCAGGAGGAACACCGAUGGCGAAGGCAGGUCUCUGGGCCACUACUGACGCUGAGAAGCGGAAGCGUGGGGAGCGAACGGGAUUAGAUACCCUGGUAGUCCACGCCGUAAACGUUGGGAACUAGGUGUGGGUCUCAUUCCACGAGAUCUGUGCCGCAGCUAACGCAUUAAGUUCCCCGCCUGGGGAGUACGGCCGCAAGGCUA
rnacentral:rRNA from 1 species